UAUAAUGCUGCAAUGUAGAAGCACAAAACGCGAUUCUUGUUAGUGUGGUUACUGACAAUCAUGAUAGUGGACCAACAAAUCUAUGUUCUUGAAACACCAACAUGAUUGCACGGACUUUGAUUGUUUUAUUGUUUGCUACAUACGUCGUGAGUAAAGAACCGUCUUGUUGUUCAAGAAUACAGAAUCUGUCGUGUAGAUAUGUGUGUGAUCAAUUAUUGGCUACACAAAAUAAUUACCACCAGACACAGAAGUUAAUCAAUGCAGCCAAUCAGUGCCCUUCUGGAUUAAUUGAAUUUUGGCAAUGUGUCAAUAGUUCGCUUACAG